ACUAUCGUUAUCAAACACUCGAAUUACCAUACAACACAACAAUCCAUACUCUGUAAUUGAAGUGCUCUCGCGUUAAUUAUAAGACCGAGUAAUUGUCGAUCAGUUUGUGUCAGUGUCGCAACGGACAAGAUAACGAACGGUAGCAUUGCUACUUACUACUUUGAGCUGUUCUGUCUGAAGUUAACAUGUUUGCGGCACGAGCUACGAGUUUGGUUUUGCUAUUGAUUGUUUUGGUACAAUUUCUUCAUGCAGCACCUACAGAAGAAUGUCCAAACAACAUGGAAUUCAAACAGUGUGGGCCGGCCUGUGAAAGAACUUGUGAAAAUCACAACAAAGCUUAUGCAUGCAUCGAUAUGUGCGUUAGCGCUUGUUUCUGUAAAGGAGACUUGGUGAAGAACAGUGCAGGUCAAUGUGUGGAGAUAAGUAAAUGUAACGAAUCAAGAAGGAAAUAAAAUGUCACUUUGAAAUUGUU